CAAAUCAGGUAGGAUUACCCGCUGAACUUAAGCAUAUCAAUAAGCGGAGGAAAAGAAACUAACAAGGAUUCCCCUAGUAACUGCGAGUGAAGCGGGAAAAGCUCAAAUUUAAAAUCUGGCGGUCUUUGGCCGUCCGAGUUGUAGUCUGGAGAAGUGCUUUCCGCGCUGGACCGUGUACAAGUCUCUUGGAACAGAGCGUCAUAGAGGGUGAGAAUCCCGUCUUUGACACGGACUACCAGUGCUUUGUGAUGUGCUCUCAAAGAGUCGAGUUGUUUGGGAAUGCAGCUCAAAAUGGGUGGUAAAUUCCAUCUAAAGCUAAAUAUUGGCGAGAGACCGAUAGCGAACAAGUACCGUGAGGGAAAGAUGAAAAGCACUUUGGAAAGAGAGUUAAACAGUACGUGAAAUUGCUGAAAGGGAAACGCUUGAAGUCAGUCGCGUUGGCCAGGACUCAGCCUUGCUUUUGCUUGGUGCAUUUUCUGGUUGACGGGCCAGCAUCGAUUUUGACCGCUGGAAAAAGGUUAGGGGAAUGUGGCACCUUCGGGUGUGUUAUAGCCCUUAGUCACAUACAGUGGUUGGGAUCGAGGACCGCAGCACGCCUUUAUGGCCGGGGUUCGCCCACGUUCGUGCUUAGGAUGCUGGCGUAAUGGCUUUAAACGACCCGUCUUGAAACACGGACCAAGGAGUCUAACAUGCCUGCGAGUGUUUGGGUGGAAAACCCGAGCGCGUAAUGAAAGUGAAAGUUGAGAUCCCUGUCGUGGGGAGCAUCGACGCCCGGACCUGAACUUCGGUGAUGGAUCUGCGGUAGAGCAUGUAUGUUGGGACCCGAAAGAUGGUGAACUAUGCCUGAAUAGGGUGAAGCCAGAGGAAACUCUGGUGGAGGCUCGUAGCGAUUCUGACGUGCAAAUCGAUCGUCAAAUUUGGGUAUAGGGGCGAAAGACUAAUCGAACCAUCUAGUAGCUGGUUCCUGCCGAA
rnacentral:rRNA from 1 species